rnacentral:rRNA from 1 species
CGCAAGCCUGACGGAGCAACGCCGCGUGAGGGAUGAAGGCCUCUGGGCUGUAAACCUCUUUUCUCAAGGAAGAAGAUCCGACGGUACUUGAGGAAUAAGCCACGGCUAAUUCCGUGCCAGCAGCCGCGGUAAUACGGGAGUGGCAAGCGUUAUCCGGAAUUAUUGGGCGUAAAGCGUCCGCAGGCGGCCUUGAAAGUCUGUCGUUAAAGCGUGGAGCUUAACUCCAUUUCGGCGGUGGAAACUACAAGGCUUGAGUGUGGUAGGGGCAGAGGGAAUUCCCGGUGUAGCGGUGAAAUGCGUAGAUAUCGGGAAGAACACCAGUGGCGAAAGCGCUCUGCUGGGCCAUAACUGACGCUCAUGGACGAAAGCCAGGGGAGCGAAAG